GGACAGUUUCAUGAUUUCUAGUCUAUUGUUUAUUAUACAUAGCUACAAAUUAAUAAAAUCAUCUUUAUUUGUACAAAAGUACAUGUAUUUUACAGUGACAAAAAGAUUAAAUGACUAUUGGUCCCAUCAAACUUGAAAACUGAGAAAAGUUAUUAUAAAUCCAUAAAUCGAUCUGCUCAGACAGAUUUUUUUUGUAAGGAACUCAAAUUUUGCAGGGCUACCCACAGUUAGUAAAAUCUCAGUAUAUAAUGCCUUGUUAUAGAUAGGCAAAAUGCAAUGGCAUGAUUUCAAAAGAUCUUAGAUUGGGGAAAAAACUGUUCAUUGAAAAAAAAUAAGAUAUUUUCCAGGUAAAAAAGUGAUACUUAAAAGGUCAAGGCUACUAUAAACAAAUGAUAUAUAAAACCAACAGGAUUUCAAAAAAUGAGGAAAAAAAAUGGCUAGGGGCAUCUGUUUGGAUAUAUGAGAUGCAUAAAUAAUCAGCCUUGUCCUAUUGGAAUCACAAAUCUAAAUAGGAUGCAUAGAAAAGUGCCACAUGACCUGCAAGUUAAAGAACCCAUGUAAAAUUCUUUGAGGAGGGUGUAUU
rnacentral:lncRNA from 1 species